GUACGUUUGGUUCAAGUUAUCCCGGUAGGAUUACAGGCAAUCCUGCUAGGAUUAUCGUGUUUGGUUCAUCCGCUAUUAAUCUAGUCGUUAAUGCAUCAUUACAAAUCGAGCAGAAUUAUACCGAAAAUAUUAACGAGAGGGAGGUCGUGUAUCUUGCAUUACUGAAAACCGGUAAUACUACAUAUUAUGUAAAAUAACAAUUUUACCCUCUGACUCUCGAAACCCUUUCAAUACGUUAUUUUAAAAAAAAUAAUUUAAAAUUUUGAAUUGUCAACUUUGAAUUUUUAAUUUUUAAUUUUCAAAUUUAAAUUUUAAAAUUUUAAAAUUUAAAUUUUUAAAAUUUCAAAUUUAAAUUUUUAAUUUUUAAUUUUUAAUUUUUAAACUUCAAAUUUAAGUUUUAAAUUUUACAUUUUAAAUUUCAAAUUUCAAACUUCAAAUUUCAAACUUCAAACUUCAAACUUCAAAUUUCAAAUUUCAAAUUUUAAAUUUAAAUUUUA
rnacentral:lncRNA from 1 species